GUGUUUGCUUUGGCAGCACAUAUACUAAAAUUGAAACGAUACAGAGAAGAUUAGCAUGGCCCCUGUGCAAGGAGGACACCCAAAUUCGUGAAGCAUUCCAUAUUUUU
ensembl:snRNA U6 U6 spliceosomal RNA